rnacentral:sRNA from 1 species
UUCCUGAGUGAGCGGUGGAGGGAACCCUAGAGGACAGAGCCCCCAGCCCGGCAGCAGGCCCCCUCUCUGCCCGCCACCACGGAGGAGAAGGAGGACAGCCAGCCCCUCCGGCCCUGGCCUGGCCCAGCGGGGGCAGUAAGCUCCUACUUGCCCCCAGCUUGGUGCCCACACGGGCCCAGUGCAUGAGCAGCCGAGCCUGCUAACCGCAGCUCCGCACUUGUCCAUCCCCCUGCGGCUACACCAUGUCCAGCUCCUACGAUGAGGCCUCACUGGCGCCAGAGGAGACCACCGACAGCUUCUGGGAGGUGGGGAACUACAAGCGGACUGUGAAGCGCAUCGAUGACGGCCACCGUCUAUGCAACGACCUGAUGAACUGCGUGCAGGAGCGCGCCAAGAUCGAGAAGGCGUACGGGCAGCAGCUCACCGACUGGGCCAAGCGUUGGCGCCAGCUCAUCGAGAAAGGUGCUCCCCCAGGCUCACAUCGUGCGCACCCCCAGGCCGUCACGAGCCCCCUCGGUCUGGGUCCUAGGAGCCCCGGCUACUUGCAUGCACCAUGCCCUCCAUCUACCAGACACAGGACCUUUUCAGGCGCUGUUCCCUCCUAGAUCAAACCAGGCCUACCUGUUCAUCUCUAUUUUGUACAACUUUAGGUUGAAUUAAAAGAAAA